rnacentral:rRNA from 1 species
CCCUUAGAUGUUCUGGGCUGCACGCGCGCUACACUGACGCACGCAACAGGUGCCUGCUCCGAGAGGACUGGGUAAUCAUUUGAGUGUGCGUCGUGAUGGGGAUAGAAUAUUGUAAUUAUUACUCUUCAACGAGGAAUUCCUAGUAAGCGCCAGUCAGCAGCUUGCGCUGAUUACGUCCCUGCCCUUUGUACACACCGCCCGUCGCUCCUACCGAUGGGUGAUCCGGUGAAUAAUUCGGACUGCAGCAGUGUUCAGUUCCUGAACGUUGCAGCGGAAAGUUUAGUGAACCUUAUCACUUAGAGGAAGGAGAAGUCGUAACA